AGGAUCAACGCUGGCGGCGUGCCUAAUGCAUGCAAGUCGAACGGGGUGCUUUCGGGCACUUACGUGGCGGACGGGUGAGGAACACGUGGGCAAUCUGUCCUGAGGUGGGGGGUAGCCUUCGGAAACGGAGGGUAAUUCCGCAUGUGCGUACCGGGUGGUAGACCGGGUACGGAAAGGGUCUUCGGGACUCGCCUGAGGGGGAGCCUGCGGCCGAUUAGCUAGUUGGUGGGGUAGAGGCCUACCAAGGCGAGUGAUCGGUAGCUGGUCUGAGA
rnacentral:rRNA from 1 species